rnacentral:hammerhead_ribozyme from 1 species
AUCGGGCUGACGUGUCCCAAAUAGGACGAAACGCGUGUCCUUGAU